CAGGAAAUAGUUUAUAUAAAAUUUUAAUUUUGGAGAUUUAAGAAAGGUUAUCUUUUCCUGA
rnacentral:tRNA from 1 species